GAGUUUGAUCGUGGCUCAGAACGAACGCUGGCGGCGUGCCUAACACAUGCAAGUCGCACGAGAAAGUUCUUCGGAACGAGUACAGUGGCGCACGGGUGAGUAAUCCAUAGGAACGUGUCAUUAGGAGGGGAAUAACAACGGGAAACCGUUGCUAAUACCGCAUAACGUAGCAAUACCAAAGACGGCCUCUAUUUAUAAGCUGUCACCUAAUGAGCGGCCUAUGUCCCAUUAGCUAGUUGGUGGGGUAAAAGCCUACCAAGGCAACGAUGGGUAGCUGGUCUGAGAGGACGAUCAGCCACACUGGAACUGAGACACGGUCCAGACUCCUACGGGAGGCAGCAGUGGGGAAUAUUGCACAAUGGGCGCAAGCCUGAUGCAGCAACGCCGCGUGAGUGAAGAAGGCCUUCGGUUGUAAGAC
rnacentral:rRNA from 1 species